rnacentral:rRNA from 1 species
GACGAACGCUGGCGGCGUGCUUAACACAUGCAAGUCGAACGGAAAGGCCUCUUUCGGGGGGUACUCGAGUGGCGAACGGGUGAGUAACACGUGAGUAACCUGCCCUUGACUUUGGGAUAACUUCAGGAAACUGGGGCUAAUACCGGAUAGGAGCUCCUGCUGCCUGGUGGGGGUUGGAAAGUUUCGGCGGUUGGGGAUGGACUCGCGGCUUAUCAGCUUGUUGGUGGGGUAGUGGCUUACCAAGGCUUUGACGGGUAGCCGGCCUGAGAGGGUGACCGGCCACAUAGGGACUGAGAGACGGCCCAGACUCCUACGGGAGGCAGCAGUGGGGAAUAUUGCACAAUGGGUGGAAGCCUGAUGCAGCAACGCCGUGUGCGGGAUGACGGCCUUCGGGUUGUAAACCGCUUUCGCUCAUGACGAAGCUUUGUGUGACGGUAGUGGGUAAAGAAGCACCGGCUAACUACGUG